AUCACAACAAUUAGUUUGACAAAUGUUAAAUCAAUUUUGGUGAUUCAAAUAACUGUUAGAAAUGCCCAUUGAACGCAGCCAUAACGACUUCUUUCAGGAACGAGUGUUACAAAUUUCAUGUGAUUUGUUUAUUUCUUCAACCUCCGUAUGGUUCGCACCAGCCUAAUAAGUGUUCCUUUCCAUGUGGGACGAUUAUCGAUCUCGAUUGGUGCUCCCUUGCGGUGUCUUCCCAGGAUGGUGAAGGAAACACACACACACCCAGCCAACGACGCAACCGAAACCUUCGUGGGAGCGAGCUGGUUUCGCUAUCGAUCAGCAGCGUCACGACGAGUCGCAAAAACAGUUAACAAGUGGAUGUAGAGAUCCUACACGUAUACUGCGGGUGCCCCUUUCUGCAUUGCCUCAGGACCUGCACCUUGUGCAACCCUCUUAACCGAAGCACGGCGGCUGUGAAAGUGUUUGGCGAAUCGUUACCGCUCCCCCCUAUGUAUAAAUGAUGUGCAAAACGUUUAACUUGUAACAUUUUGUGGGGCCAAACCCUCGGGAAAGCUCGGCAGUGUUGUGUGCAGAAGGUUAAAAAGAUUCAGUAUCUUCAGUCGACUAACGUUGGUUUCACACUAAAACUGUGGCUGUUUCAUUCAACACAAGUCGAAGACAUUGGAUAGUUUAUUUACUAAGCUAACUCAUAUAUUGCAAGGUUUUCGAAAAAAAGGCUAAAACAUGUUCGCAUGUCGAUAAAAACCCAUCCGCCAGUGAAUAGCGUAAAUGCACAACGCUAAAGGAAAUUGCGGGUCAAUAAAAUCUCCCAACCCCCCUUUUUUCUACGCGGCAUUAGGUCCUGUACAACCCUUCAGCGCAAGCUAGAAGUAACUAUUGCACACUAUUUCCAUGUCACGGCCUUUGCGUAACGGUUAUGUGAAAGUAGCGAAAGGGUUUUGGACGAACAACCACCACCCUUCAGCGUGGCCCGCGCGUACUUGCGUUCAUUCACCGGACGACAGCGGCACAGCGGGGCAAGCGAAAUUCCGUUCGAUUGCGCGAGAUCGCACCAGAACCGCGUGCAUACAGUGCAAACCAUGCAAUCACGAAGAAUCUGCGCCGGCUCUGCAGCGAAUCGUGAAAAACUAUGAAACACGAUAAAGGUCCACCACAAAGUCCAUCGUUGGGAGAUUGGGCCCCCGCCUCGUGGGCCAUCGAAGUAUCAGGUCAUUUAACUUCGCGCAUCGAUCGUAUCGCACCGAUUGGGCAAUUUGCGGCCGGGAGUAGCACAGUCAGACUGUAAUCACAAACUUGCUCCGUUUCGCGGUUAGGUCAGCGAGAAAGUACAAACCCCCGAAAACGAUAGAUUAUCCUCGGGUGAAUCGAUGUGCCUCGGUGUGCCUUCGAAUUGCACGAUCACGAGCGUUGAGGUUAAGUGGAGCAACUGCGGCAAGCAUCGAGACGGUGUCGUGCCGUAACCGCCAGGAGUUCAAGAGCCAAACGCGAUAAUUUUCUUUUACUUGACCGAUCGUUCGUUCGCUGAUCUUCGUUUUUAAACUUGGCAGGCAAUUUGGGUACCUUUCCAAUCCAAUUAUGGCAAUAGUAAGCUAAAUGGUUUGGUAAUGUUAAAAGCAUGAGACAUACGUCUGAGAAACUAAUACACUGAUAGUAGCCUUAUCAAUUCGUUGUCACAAAACAGCUUGACAAUUAUUUUAUAAGGAUGAUCUCAACUAAACCAACAACUUCAAACAUUUUGAUGGCUGAUAAGCAACCUUUUUUGUAUAGACAUUCGAAGCAUUUAGCUCAAUGAUAAGAAAUUGUGUCUGCUAAUGUGUUUUUUUUUGUUCUUCCCUAAAACACUGUAACUGUCCGUUACAUUCAAACACACAUGCAUAGCAAUUAGCUUUAAUUCCACAAUUUAUCAUCGUUUCAUAAUUAACGGGGUUUGUAAGCGGGAUUAAUUGGAACGAGCACCAAGCCUUAUUAAACUAAUUCAACGUAAACGGGAAAUUAAUUUUCAUUACGAUAGAAAUCAAAGAGAAUAGGUAAAUAAUAGUAGGAAACCUCAGCCACGUGCACGAAUCUUACUUCCUCUACCAAAAAACACAACCCAAUCAUCAAUCGAUACCGAUUCCAUAUCGUGCUACUUGAGGUCAUUAAAAUAAACAAAAGCAACGAAGAAAAAAGGUUCGAAACGAGAAACCCGAAAACCGCCAACUCAUUCAACCGCACUGCACCAAGCCUCAGGUUAAACCUGGUGGGAAAUGAACUGAAAUCGAAGAACGAUCGGAACGGAAAAAAAGCUUCAAUAGAUCGGCACGAGAAAACUGGCGCUCGGCGUAGAACAUACGGAAAAAGGAGCGCCCAAAGUGUUUUUGGUGAGCAGAACACGAACCUAGACCGAGUGACCUCCGUCUAAACAUGUGAAUUUGGUAAAAGGCCCGCGGAGUAAAUUAGGUUUCCGCUUUCGAACGAACGUCGACGGGGCGGCGUGUCGUGUCGUGCCAUACAGUCACAAGCUGGUUGGAAAAAUAACCUUCACAUACACGCAAACAAUAGUGUUGUUGCACGGCAACAAAGUGGAAUUAAAGCCAACGUCGUUGGUUGAAAAUGGAAAAUUGUUUCACGGUCAGGUGCUUUCGAUGGGGGACCAAUUUGGUUAGUUGUUUCCUGAUUUUUGUGCCCUACAGCGCGCGCGCGAGAGAGAGAGAAACAGAGAGAAAGAGAGAUCGGCUUACCGAUCGUUCAAAUAUUAAUUGAUGUACAAAUAUAGCGCACCAGUGAACGAAAAUGAUUCACUUUCAGCUUAUUAGACCGAACUUUGUAAUAGCUGCAUUCGUUCCAGACAAAUCACACUUUUCUACACAACAACAGCAGCGAUGGUACGAUAACCUAGUUUGCAUUUGAAGAUAGUGGUUGUUGCUUGCUCUCCCGUCGUGUAAAAAGGGCUUUGAUUCGUGUUUAUCUGGCAAACAGAAAGCUGAGCAGUACAGCUGAUAUGAAAGCAACGAGUGGUAGUAUAAAAGUCUAAUUUUGAACACCGCAACUAUCAUUGCCAACACACAUACAAACCAAAGAACAAUCCGUUAAGGGUCUCCAAGGGGAUUUCUAUCAAGAGGCACCCCACUUGCAAAAGUAGUGAGAACGAGUGUUCGCACUGAAUUUCGUGUUCCGCUUAACAAGCACGGGAUAAUGUCAAGUGCAGGCAGCUCGGAUUGUGAUUCACUCACUACAGUUUCUCCUCUUCAACUGUAUGAUUGCAUGAUUUGCCAGUGCAUUUUUAAAUAAAACAGUUAAACAAAUUAGUUUUUGAGCGAUCUUUUCGAACAAACGAUCUUGCCUUUAUAGUUUGUGGCGAAAGUGGACGAAUUGACAGCGGAAUGGCAACAACGCCUAAUGAGGGGCUUGUUGCCCCUUUUUUGACAUUUUCGAACGUCGAUAGAAAUCAAAAUACCAUCAUUUUCAUAGUUAAUUUUUAACUCCCUAUUGGCGAUAAAAGUAUGGCACGUUAAAUCAAAGACGAAGCAUUUACAAUAGCCGAGAUUUUGAGAUUUCUAGACACUUUUAGACACAAUACUGGAGUUUCCAAACGAUAUUGAAAGAAGCAAGUAGCGGAUGUUACUCCCCAACGAUCUUCGCACGACAAUACCAGCCACCAGUCGUUUCUGGUGCGUGGGCAGCUUUAAUCACAAUUAUAAAUGACCACUAUGCCCGAAGGUCAGCCCAGUGGUGGAUCGCAACGACGAAAUGGAAAAGAAACAUCGAGACGAGGGAAAGAACACGCUAGCAGGGAACCUGUUUUCAAAGGGUUUUAGACGGCCGGGAUGCAGGGAGAAGGACAGGGGAAGGAAGCUGGCCAACUGGUGCAUCAUCCCCAAACAUUCGAUCGUCACUGUAUGCGUGACCGUUGAUGCGUAUGACCCUCCAGUUUUCGGUAACAAGGGCAUAAUCGAGAGCUGCUUUAUGGGCAUAUGUUGUGCUUGGACAAAUAAAUUUUAAUCGUCAAACAUA